GAUGAACGCUGGCGGCGUGCCUAAUACAUGCAAGUCGAGCGAACAGACGAGGAGCUUGCUCCUCUGACGUUAGCGGCGGACGGGUGAGUAACACGUGGAUAACCUACCUAUAAGACUGGGAUAACUUCGGGAAACCGGAGCUAAUACCGGAUAAUAUAUUGAACCGCAUGGUUCAAUAGUGAAAGACGGUUUUGCUGUCACUUAUAGAUGGAUCCGCGCCGCAUUAGCUAGUUGGUAAGGUAACGGCUUACCAAGGCUACGAUGGGUAGCCGACCUGAGAGGGUGAUCGGCCACCCUGGAACUGAGACACGGUCCAGACUCCUACGGGAGGCCGCAGUAGGGACUCUUCCGCAAUGGGCGAAAGCCUGACGGAGCAACGCCGCGUGAGUGAUGAAGGUCUUCGGAUCGUAAAACUCUGUUAUUAGGGAAGAACAAAUGUGUAAGUAACUAUGCACGUCUUGACGGUACCUAAUCAGAAAGCCACGGCUAACUACGUG
rnacentral:rRNA from 1 species